GACGAACGCUGGCGGCGUGCUUAACACAUGCAAGUCGAACGGUAAGGCCCUUCGGGGUACACGAGUGGCGAACGGGUGAGUAACACGUGGGUGAUCUGCCCUGCACUUCGGGAUAAGCCUGGGAAACUGGGUCUAAUACCGGAUAGGACCCUGGGAUGCAUGUACUGGUGUGGAAAGCUUUUGCGGUGUGGGAUGGGCCCGCGGCCUAUCAGCUUGUUGGUGGGGUGAUGGCCUACCAAGGCGACGACGGGUAGCCGGCCUGAGAGGGUGACCGGCCACACUGGGACUGAGAUACGACCCAGACUCCUACGGGAGGCAGCAGUGGGGAAUAUUGCACAAUGGGCGCAAGCCUGAUGCAGCGACGCCGCGUGAGGGAUGACGGCCUUCGGGCUGUAAACCUCUUUCAGCACCGACGAAGCGCAAGUGACGGUAGGUGCAGAAGAAGGACCGGCCAACUACGUGCCAGCAGCCGCAGUAA
rnacentral:rRNA from 1 species